ensembl:miRNA
UGGUUCCUGCAGAGAUGGUAGACUAUGGAACGUAGGCUUUGUGAUUUUUGACCUAUGUAACAUGGUCCACUAACUCUCAGUAUCCA